AACAUUUUCGUGAGGAGCAAAGAUAGGGGCUUGGUAGAGCACUUACUGGAUCCAGCAAUGUAUAUGUGUGUAUUUCAACAGAUAAUAAUAAGGGGAAACAGGUGUCAAUUCCCGAGGACGUCUUUGACGCCAUGUGGAAUAUAAGGGAGGAUAUAAAGGCGGGGACUGAUCUGUUGAAAAAUAUUUCGGGGCCGCCAAGUCCACCACUGAUUCCGAUUGCUCCACCAAAGAAAAGGAAAACCGAUAAAAAAAAAAAGGGCGAUUCUAAUUGACAGUGAUGAUGACAUUUUGAUCUAACAAAAGAAGCAUUGACACGCUGCAGAGUUUCGGUCAAAUUUUUGUCAGUGAAUUAUAUUUAGAAGAAGAAAACAAAAACAAAGCAACUAGCAAAUUCUCUAUUUUGAUGUUUAUGGCAUGUUUUUCAAUUGACAAAA